CUUAGAAAAGGGCCAGUUAAACCUUUUAAUCUUGACUGUUCUGCCUCUGUGUCUGGCUUUACCAGAUUUGACACAGCUGACAUUUCCCAAACUUCACAUAAUCCAGUGUGAGUGCGAUCCCAGUGUGUGAUAUUCCUACCUGCUGGAUGGUGUCCAUGCCCUUCUGAACCCUCUGCCAGUCGCUGGAGCGCUCCAGGGAUGCGUCCACAAUGUGUUUCCACACUGCAGUCCCUGAAAGCCUGUGGUGGGCAUGCCCUCCAACAGCAUGGAGGACAACUUCUGAUCCAACUUGUCCACAGAAGACUCCUGAAGAGCCUGAAGUCCACACAGGCAGACAGGCACCACAUUUUGAAAUAACUUUUUAAGGCAAGGCUGCAAAGAAAAUUUAGUCGAUACACGCGAAUAACUGAGUAAAAUCAACAAACAAAAGCAUCGAUGUGCUUGGAUCAGAAGGUAAAAUGCAGCCGGCAGAGAGACAACAAAGGUGCGAGCUUGAAAACACACAUCAGAGUCCAGUCUUGCCAGUUCGGUCUUGAAAAUUCUCUUGGCAAAUUCUUCUUUUGGCAUUGCUCAACUUUGCCUCCUCAGCAAAAGAGACCUAAUCAAAUCAAGUGUUUGUGGGCAAAAGAAGGCUGAAACCUGCCGGCUCUUCAUUUCCACAGAGGGGACGGUAAACAGCGAAGCACAGGAACAUCAGCGGAAAUAACAUGAUUAAAUUUAUCUUCUGUUUUUCUUUCUAAUGGCUUGAAGUGGAUCGAUCAUAAGCAGUGUUUUGGGGCGGCAACUGACUAAUUUCUAUAACUAAGUUACAUAACGAUGAGUCACUAAGUAACAUAACACAUGCCUCAGAAGAGUUAUUUUUAUUGAAGAGAGAGGGAAAGAGAAUGGUACCGCAUUCGAUUGUGUUUCCUGCAUUAUACAAUUAAAAUAAUUAAAAAUUUUAAUAUAUUCACCAAAGGUUUGAAGUUUUAAGUCUGGAGAAUGCUCACUGCUUGUUCUAUGCAAAGACUGCAUUUACUUUCUGUUUCACAGUGUGCUCUUAAUAAAUUAAGUUCAAAAGUAUUGAUGCACAUAUAUAUUUAUUACAAUAUUGCUGUUGAAGAGUUUGAUCUCGCUGCCAGCCAGUCUGAAAUAAAAUAUCCCCACCCCACUACAACUUUCUCUCAUAAAAGGUGCCGUCCAUUUUCUGUUGUGCUACCAGAAUGUUGAGGUCCUGAUCUUUUAGUCUCUGAUAGGGAUCAAACUCAAAAACACUCAUUUCCCAUCAUGCAACAUUCUUUGUUUUGUUUUUUUUCUGUCAAAAUCCCCAGCUCUACAUAAAUGUAGAUAAAUAAUCAUAUUAAACAGAAAACAUUAUACAACUUUUUUGUAGGCUGUGUGAAACCAUUUACGAUUACUAAACAAAGCUUUAUGUGUAAAACCUGUUGAAUUGUUCAUUUUUAAUCAUUAAACUCAGAUAAGGUGCAACACUUUGAGUGUGGCGAUUUCUU